CGCAGCCGCGGUAAUUCCAGCUCCAAUAGCGUAUAUUAAAGUUGCUGCAGUUAAAAAGCUCGUAGUUGAAUUUCGAGACCGGCUUACUGGUCGUGCUAUUGUACGUACUGGUAUAAUCGGUUUCUCCUUUCUGACGAACUAUAAUGCCAUUAAUUUGGUGUUUUAGGGAAUCAGGACUGUUACUUUGAAAAAUUAGAGUGUUUAAAGCAGGCUCACGCUUGAAUACAUUAGCAUGGAAUAACGGAAUAGGGACGUUUGAUUCUAUUUUGUUGGUUUCUAGGAUCGACGUAAUGAUUAAUAGGGAUAGUUGGGGGCAUUAGUAUUCAAUUGUCAGAGGUGAAAUUCUUGGAUUUAUUGAAGACUAACUACUGCGAAAGCAUUUGCCAAGGAUGUUUUCAUUAAUCAAGAACGAAAGUUAGGGGAUCGAAGACGAUCAGAUACCGUCGUAGUCUUAACCAUAAACUAUGCCGACUAGGGAUCGGAUGAUGUUAAUUUUUUAAUGUACUCA
rnacentral:rRNA from 1 species